CUUCCACUGAGACCCAAAAGGCAGAAACAGAAACAGCUGUGAAACAUGAAAGGGCAAGGUGUUGUGCUGCUCUGUGUGUUGCCGCUGGUGCUGGGCCAGGAAAAGGCCUUCAGCUGGGAUGGACCAGGACAAACCCUUGCUCCAGAUCCCAUCAACCCAUGCCUGACUGACCAGAACUCAUGUGGUUGUUGUCUGA